rnacentral:misc_RNA from 1 species
AAGUCGUAACAAGGUUUCCGUAGGUGAACCUGCGGAAGGAUCAUUAAAGAAUUAGGCUUCGCGGCCAAGUUCUCACCCUUUGUAUACCGAAACCAUGUUGCUUUGGCAUUGGGCCCCAUGGCCCAUUUCUUUCUGGCCGGUCUGCCCAGAGGUUAUAAACCCCUAGAAUCUCUGCUGUCUGAGUACUAUACAAUAGUUAAAA